UCAUUUGUUUCUAUUCUCACCCAUUAAAAAAUAGAAAGAUGAAGAAUAAAAUAAAAAAGAAAAUAAAAGGAGAAAGGAAAAAGAUAUAUAUAAAAAAGAUAUCUAAAACAAAAUUGAAAAAAAAAACUUACAGUACAAAAAUAUGAUACUAAGAAAUAUUACAUAAACUAAAAAAUUUGAAAAAAAAAUAAUGUGUACAAUAAAAAAAAAAGGAAGAAAGAAAUGUGAAAAAAAUUAUUCUAAUUUUAAAAAAAAAUACGUGGAGUACAGAAAAGAAAAAUAAAUUGUAAAUACAAUAAGGUCAAAAUUAAAAUGAAAAUAUAAAAUAAAACAAUUAUAUAAUAUAAAAAUAGGGCACUUCUUAAGUCCCUCGGUUACUUCAGGAGGACUUAGUCCUUCACUAAAUGUGAGUCGUUGGAUGGGUGUAAUUUUUGUGUUCAACGGCUGGAUUGAAUGUGAAGCUUUGAGUGUGGAAAAAUACUGAAAUACCCCAUAUGUGUACCCAUUAACCGGCUACGGUUUGUCUUCGUGUUAAGAGCAUUUAUUUUUUUUAAAAAACCUUCUGAACAAAUCAGUUUCUUUCCCUCCCCCGACUAACCGAACAAAUCAGUUUCUUUCCCUCCCCCGACUAACCGAACAAGGUUAUUCUCCUCCCCAACUCUGAAAAGAGACAUUAUUUGAAGAGGAAAACCCCCAAUGAGGAAUAUUUGUAUUGGGUUCUUGGUUUGAAUUCAAGCUCGGGGUGUUCGUUGGCUUGGUCGAUAAGUUCGUGGGGUUUUGUUUUUGAAUGUUCUGUUUCGUGUCACUCAUUCCCUCCCUUGAGUAGAUUCGCGGUUUUGGGUCGAAGGAAUGACCGUUUACUAGGUAGGUCGACAUGCUUUAGUGUUCGGGUUCGUGUAGUUGUUCCAUUCAUGGUGAGUUUCCUCUAACCGAUUUCUUGAUUAUGCAUUGUGAAUUUUUUUUUGUUUGAGUAAGUAAUUUGUAUGGCAAUACACAAAAUUUCCAAGUUUGGAUGUUUGUUGUUGGAAUUUAUGGAAGAGUAUUUUUUAAAAAAAAAAAAAUUUGGACUUUACGUUUGAAGUUGAGGAUUGAUUUGCCCAAUUUGACAAUGGUAAGUAGUUCCGAUAAAAAACAAGAGAUGAGUACAAUAGGGUUGCAUGUGAACUUAUAAUAUAGGACUAUGUGUAAUAGGAUUGAAACUCGGACUUUUAAAAGUUGUUUGAAAAAAUAUCUAUGUAAACUUGAGUGAACUAGUUAUCAGUUGUGCUUCGUUAUGUUUAUCGUGAAAUGCACACUAUUUUGGGCUUGAGUUACAGUUAGGCAAAGUAUUCUAUGCUGUGCUUGGCUUUUAUGUUGUGGGUUUUCAAUGAAAUUUGGUGCAAGGUGAGAAGAGAGAAGAAACCAGAAAGAUGAUGAUGGUGCCAAGCGGGGUUUUUUUUGUGUUGAGCGCUUUAUCGAAGGAAUAGUUGGACAAACUAAUAGGUCCAUAGAAUGCUCUUGUCGUUGUCUCGUCUCUAUUGUUGUUCACCACAUAUUCCUAUGUAUUAAAGAUUCAGCUGCUGGACAGGUUUUUGAAAUGGUUGAUGUAAAGAAAUUGGAUUACAGAUGCUCCCCUCAUCGGCUUUUCUCAAAUUUUUCCCAUAUGAAUGGGGCGCAGAAAGAGGUGGUCAAACAAAUGGGGUUCGGCACACUACUGGGGAUGAAAGAUUGUACUGUUAGAAGAAAUCUCAUAACAUGGUUGGUGUCCUGCUUCAACGUUGAAGAUGGGAGUUUGGAAGUCCACGGUAAACAAUUUAAGUUGGAUAGUAAAAUUUUGACCGCUACCAUGGGGGUUAAGGACGGAGUUCAAGAUUUAGUGGAUAGUGUUAGUGGCGAUGAGCCGAAUGAUAAGGGGGAAAGAUUAUCUAUGUCAGUUCUAGAGUUCAAACUAAAACAAAAUCAAUCAACCAACAUGUCUUUCAUUCGAGACUUCCUUUUGUUCCUUGUGUCCUCCUUUCUGAUGCCGAAAAAGGGACUAAAAAUUUCCUGAGAUUUCGACGGUCCUAUACUUGCCAUAAAAGACAUUGCAACUGUCUCUCGGAUUAAUUGGGCCUCAAUGUCGUACAAGUUUCUGUGGAAAAGCCUUCGACAGUUUCGUGCCAAACCAACCUAGUUUCUGGGAGGAUGCAUCUACUUCUUGCGGGUUUUUUAUUGUCAUCACGUUGCCUGGAAGGAAGGCUAUGUCGAUAGAAGCCUGUGCCCUUUAAAUGUUUGGUCCGAAGAUGAUUUUAAGGCCGUCCUUGAUUGGGUAGAGCAGCAAGGGGGGUUUCAGUCAAACACAAUACCAUUGUUAGAAUUGCAGGAUGGGUUGGUUGAGUUGAAGUUGCCCGCCACGAUCUCAUCCCUAUGUACUAUGGUUGCAUCACUGCAGAAGAAAAUGAUCGAUCAAGAGAAUCAAAUUGUUAAAUUAGAAGAGGUGAUUCAAAGGAAAAUGUCUAGUGAAUUUGAAAGAUUACGUAAAAGCUUCAGUCGUUCAAUAAGUUCAACUGCGGGUGGUCCUGCCAUUCUCGACUCCCGAAAAGAGAAGGAGGCUCACGGAGGGGAUGGAAGGAAGUUUAUGGACGACCCUAUAGAGGGGAACCUAUAGUUGAACAAUGGGACAAGUUGGACCAAGGUUUGGAGUCGGAGUGACCCAAUGUUGAUCGAGUGUGGUGCUGGUUUUAUGGAUGAAGUUGAAAAUUCUUUUGCAAAAGCUCCCGUUUCAUACAACGACAACAACGGUGUGGAAAUGGAGCAUGAUUUGAAUGAUUAUCAACCUAUGGCUGCACCCCCUAAUGAACAGAACGAUGUGGUGGAAGCAGCUACUGAACUGGCUGCUUCGCAGACUAAGUCGACAAGUUCCAACAAGGAGACCAAAGCAAUGUCAGUGAAAAAAAGAUUAUUCAAAACAACUGCUCAACGUAGACCUGUUGAGAAGGAGAGGGAAGGGGUGAACAGGGGAAAAGGGAAGGAAAUAGUCUUGUAUAACAUUAUUUCUGAACAUAAUAUCGAUGGUGGUACCGGUGAUCGCGUCAUUCACGAAAUAAAGGACGAUGACGACUUCAACAUUGAUCCUGCCAUUCGUAAGAGAGACGCACAACUAUGCAAAGAGGACAAGUUAUUUGAGAAUAUGGUCGCCACGUAUAUGGGAAGCGACGACUACCAGGUUGGGGCAUUUAAAUUCAAACAAUCGGCAUCCGUGGCUAGUUUCCAGCUUGGACUGUUCCUUUUUUAUAACAGUUUUUCA